GAUUUAUUUUUUCGUUAUGUGACAGGAAAACGAUCUAUAGGGUUGCACUAUACAUUCACCGAGUGGCUGUGCUAACCAGGAGGCCAUAUGAAACGGGUGACCGUGAGAAGGGGUUCUACCGUAAAAUUAUUGACAAGGAAAGAGUUUUAUCGAAAGUAAAAGCUGGUGUUUUCUUUUUAACAAGUUACUUUUUCCGCUUCCCUCUCUUCCCGGCUAUCUUUGCACUUCGUCGGUCAGGAAGGAAAAAGCUGCCAAUGUUUCGAAUGCAAAAGGCCCACAAUUCCACUUCGCCGUUUUACAAUAAGGGAAUGUGAUUGGGUGCGAGGACGUUUCCGCUUAUUGUUAUAUUGACAACUGUUCCUAGUCUUAAAGUUCAUCAUUAACCAUUUCAUGACAUAUCUGCGCCAUUGAAGCAUAUCUACUGUCAGCAGAAAAUUCCAAUUUCAGCUCAGUUAAUUUUAGAGACUAAAGUUGACAUGUUCGGCGAUAUUUGUUUUAACCCUGUUUAACAUUUCACAUAUUGUUAAAUUUGAUGCAAAUCAGUCGACUGAAUUUCCUCUGGAGCCCAUCAGAACAAAAGCGGAGAAACAGACGGACAUUUACCAACGCGGAGACUCACCUUAACUUCCAAGCAAAGUCGUGUUAGCUGAGGUUUAAGUCAAGAGUUGGACUGUAAUAAUUUCAAGAAGAAUCUUAUUCCUUCCAUA